rnacentral:rRNA from 1 species
ACGCUAGCGAUAGGCUUAACACACGCAAGUCGAGGGGCAGCAUGAUCUUAGCUUGCUAAGGUCGAUGGCGACCGGCGCACGGGUGCGUAACGCGUAUGCAACUUGCCUUACAGAGGGGGAUAACCCGUUGAAAGACGGACUAAAACCGCAUACACUUGUAUUAUUGCAUGAUAUUACAAGGAAAUAUUUAUAGCUGUAAGAUAGGCAUGCGUCCCAUUAGCUGGUUGGUGAGGUAACGGCUCACCAAGGCGACGAUGGGUAGGGGAACUGAGAGGUUUAUCCCCCACACUGGUACUGAGACACGGACCAGACUCCUACGGGAGGCAGCAGUGAGGAAUAUUGGUCAAUGGGCGAGAGCCUGAACCAGCCAAGUCGCGUGAAGGAAGACGGUCCUAAGGAUUGUAAACUUCUUUUAUACGGGAAUAACGGGCGAUACGAGUAUUGCAUUGAAUGUACCGUAAGAAUAAGCAUCGGCUAACUCCGUGCCAGCAGCCGCGGUAAUACGGAGGAUGCGAGCGUUAUCCGGAUUUAUUGGGUUUAAAGGGUGCGUAGGUUGUUCGGUAAGUCAGCGGUGAAACCUGAGCGCUCAACGUUCAGCCUGCCGUUGAAACUGCCGGGCUUGAGUUCAGUGGCGGCAGGCGGAAUUCGUGGUGUAGCGGUGAAAUGCAUAGAUAUCACGAGGAACUCCGAUUGCGAAGGCAGCUUGCCAUACUGCGACUGACACUGAAGCACGAAGGCGUGGGUAUCAAACAGGAUUAGAUACCCUGGUAGUCCACGCAGUAAACGAUGAUUACUAGGAGUUUGCGAUAUACCGUCAAGCUUCCACAGCGAAAGCGUUAAGUAAUCCACCUGGGGAGUACGCCGGCAACGGUGAAACUCAAAGGAAUUGACGGGGGCCCGCACAAGCGGAGGAACAUGUGGUUUA